GCAUGUUCACAUGAUUAAAGGUAUUCCGGUAGACGAUGGGGAUGCGUUCCAUUAGAUAGUAGGCGGGGCAACGGCCCACCUAGUCUUCGAUGGAUAGGGGUUCUGAGAGGAAGGUCCCCCACAUUGGAACUGAGACACGGUCCAAACUCCUACGGGAGGCAGCAGUGAGGAAUAUUGGUCAAUGGGCGAGAGCCUGAACCAGCCAAGUAGCGUGAAGGAUGACUGCCCUAUGGGUUGUAAACUUCUUUUAUAAAGGAAUAAAGUCGGGUAUGCAUACCCGUUUGCAUGUACUUUAUGAAUAAGGAUCGGCUAACUCCGUGCCAGCAGCCGCGGUAAUACGGAGGAUCCGAGCGUUAUCCGGAUUUAUUGGGUUUAAAGGGAGCGUAGAUGGAUGUUUAAGUCAGUUGUGAAAGUUUGCGGCUCAACCGUAAAAUUGCAGUUGAUACUGGAUAUCUUGAGUGCAGUUGAGGCAGGCGGAAUUCGUGGUGUAGCGGUGAAAUGCUUAGAUAUCACGAAGAACUCCGAUUGCGAAGGCAGCCUGCUAAGCUGCAACUGACAUUGAGGCUCGAAAGUGUGGGUAUCAAACAGGAUUAGAUACCCUGGUAGUCCACACGGUAAACGAUGAAUACUCGCUGUUUGCGAUAUACAGCAAGCG
rnacentral:rRNA from 1 species